GUGGGGAAUAUUGGACAAUGGGCGAAAGCCUGAUCCAGCCAUGCCGCGUGUGUGAAGAAGGUCUUCGGAUUGUAAAGCACUUUAAGUUGGGAGGAAGGGCAGUAAGUUAAUACCUUGCUGUUUUGACGUUACCGACAGAAUAAGCACCGGCUAACUUCGUGCCAGCAGCCGCGGUAAUACGAAGGGUGCAAGCGUUAAUCGGAAUUACUGGGCGUAAAGCGCGCGUAGGUGGUUUUGUAAGUUGGAGGUGAAAUCCCCGGGCUCAACCUGGGAACUGCAUCCAAAACUGCAUGACUAGAGUACGGUAGAGGGUAGUGGAAUUUCCUGUGUAGCGGUGAAAUGCGUAGAUAUAGGAAGGAACACCAGUGGCGAAGGCGACUACCUGGACUGAUACUGACACUGAGGUGCGAAAGCGUGGGGAGCAAACAGGAUUAGAUACCCCUGUAGUCC
rnacentral:rRNA from 1 species